rnacentral:rRNA from 1 species
UACAGAGGUCUCGAGCGUUAGGCGGAAUCACUGGGCUUAAAGCGUGUGUAGGUGGAUCGUUAAGUACCUUGUGAAAUCCCACGGCUUAACCGUGGAACUGCUUGGUAUACUGGCGGUCUUGAGCCAGCUAGGGGCUACCGGAACAAAUGGUGGAGCGGUGAAAUGCGUAGAUAUCAUUUGGAACGCCAAUGGUGAAAACAGGUAGCUGGGGCUGUGCUGACGCUGAUGCGCGAAAGCGUGGGGUGCGAUCCGG